UAAUUAAAUAGCCGCAGAAAUUUCUGUGCUAAGGUAGCAUAAUCAUUUGCUUUUUAAUUAAAAGCUAGUAUGAAAGGUUAAACGUUUUAAUUUCUUUAUUAUUAAUAUUUUUUAAAUUUAUCUUAGAUAUAAAAAGAUAUCUAUAUAAUAAAUAGACGACAAGACCCUAUUGAACUUAACUUUAAGUUUAGCUGGGGCAGCUAACUAAUAAUAAUUUUAAUUAAUUUUAUUUUAUAAAUUUUCCAAUUUAAUUGAAUAAAUAAUCAAGUUACCAUAGGGAUAACAGCGUAAUAUUAAUUUAAAGUUCAUAUUAAAAUUAAUGUUUGCGACCUCGAUGUUGAAUUAUAAUUCUUUAUUAAUGCAGUAAUUAUAAAAGUGAGUCUGUUCGACUCUUAAUAUUUUACAUGAUCUGAGUUCAAACCGG
rnacentral:rRNA from 1 species